rnacentral:rRNA from 1 species
CCCUUAGAUGUUCUGGGCUGCACGCGCGCUACACUGAAGCGUUCAACGAGUAUUCACCUUGCCCGGGAGGGUUGGGUAAUCUUUUGAAAACGCUUCGUGAUGGGGAUAGAUUAUUGCAAUUAUUAAUCUUCAACGAGGAAUUCCUAGUAAGCGCGAGUCAUCAGCUCGUGCUGAUUACGUCCCUGCCCUUUGUACACACCGCCCGCCGCUCCUACCGAUUGAGUGAUCCGGUGAAUAAUUCGGACUGCAGCACUGCUUGGUCUCCAGGCUUUGCAGCGGAAAGUUUAGUGAACCUUAUCACUUAGAGGAAGGAGAAGUCGUANCA